rnacentral:rRNA from 1 species
UACGGGGGGUGCGAGCGUUGUCCGGAAUCACUGGGCGUAAAGGGCGCGUAGGUGGUUUGAUAAGGGUGUGGUGAAAGUCCGGAGCUCAACUCCGGAUCUGCCGUGCCGACUGUCAAACUCGAGGGCUGUAGAGGCAGACGGAAUUCCGGGUGUAGUGGUGAAAUGCGUAGAGAUCCGGAGGAACGCCUGUGGCGCAAGCGGCCACCUGGGCCUGACCUGACGCUGAGGUGCGAAAGCGUGGGGAGCGAACCGG